UACAGAGGGUGCAAGCGUUAAUCGGAAUUACUGGGCGUAAAGCGCGCGUAGGUGGUUUGUUAAGUUGGAUGUGAAAUCCCCGGGCUCAACCUGGGAACUGCAUUCAAAACUGACAAGCUAGAGUAUGGUAGAGGGUGGUGGAAUUUCCUGUGUAGCGGCGAAAUGCGUAGAUAUAGGAAGGAACACCAGUGGCGAAGGCGACCACCUGGACUGAUACUGACACUGAGGUGCGAAAGCGUGGGGAGCAAACAGG
rnacentral:rRNA from 1 species